CAGCCUUUCUGAUCGUAAUUGCUGCCACAGAGGCCCUGCUGUCAACAGCGAGUAUCUCCCGUCCAUGGAGGCAAGUUUGGCGGAUCGCUUUUCUUGCGUCUCUGCACUGCUCACUCGGCUCCUGGGCUGCUGCGUCUGUAUUUCCCCUUCACAUGUCAUCCAUCACUCAGGUCCCAGUACACCUUCUUCAUGGUUUCUGAUGCAAAGGCUCAAUGAAAAAUUUCCUGUAAGAAAAAAAGUGUUGUCUAGUGGAAAAAAAAUCUCGCUAGGCAAAAUUCUGCACCUCUCCUCUACUAGGCUUCACAGACGUACUGCGGCUGUGGUCAGUGUGCCAACAAGAGCUCCACACUGAGGCAGGAGAACAGCUGCUUCCAUUUGGAUUAGUUGUUGGGGCAGGGGUCUGUAAAUGUUAGAAGUAGUUAUUUCAGCCAAAACUGUGUGACGUGCUGCCAAGUGAAUUAUAUCAGCAUUAGAUGAUAUUAGUGAAUAUGCUAAGAAGGAAUACCCAAAGAAGUAGAGCAACGCAGGCAGCUUGCUGAAAAGUGAAACCUGUAGUGAAAACUUAAUUAAUCAAAGUCCUUGUAUCUAUUAGUUUCUCUCUCUCUGCCAGGUAGUACGUGAACUGAGAGUUUUAUUUUGUUUUUCAUAUGAAUAGUGCAACUUACCUGAAAAAUUGUUCUGUCACGUCUUUCAGAGGCAGAUCUUUGGGCUUUCCCGUUCAGGCAAAAUAGAGCCUAUUGUCACAUACAGACCUACUUGUAGUUGGAAUUAAAUUUUACUGAAUGUGGACCAGUCUGCUGUCCCUGUCCUUCACUAAGACAGUAUCUGCAGAAGAAAUGCCAGUAGCAUAAAUUACAGCAAUGCUUAGGCAGGCAGCCCAGGAUUAGAAGUGUAUAGGGUUUUGUGUGAUGUGACUGCAUAGAUCUUGGGUUGCACCAAAAUGUGGACCCUUUUUCAGCUCAAACCUACUAUUCAGAGUAUACAAUUGUAAAGAAAAGUGUUACUGCUGGAACACAAGGCUCUUGGGAAUGUGCUUUUAGUAAAUAUUCUGUUUAUAAAGCAGCGGUUUUGCAAGCAGCAAAUUUAUUAUUUGUAAUUUCAUCUCUGUUUUUAAAUGAAUAUAUUUGACUUAUAUUCAAGAAUUUAAGAUGUUCUUAGCUAAACACAUUAGAAAGUUAAGAUACAGCAUGUUCUGUUAAUUGUGGUUGUAGGCAUUCUUCUGAGAACUUUUAUCAUUUAAUACACUUUGGCUUUUAUGUCACUGCGAAAAAAUUCUCUGAUGUGCAUCAUUGUACAUCUGAUAAAGCUGGCUGCAGCUAAUCCUGUAAUGCUGCCCUACACCUGGUCUUUUGUCUUUCGCAUAUUUUGAUCACACAACCAUUAGUUUUGGAAUCACAGGUCACAAAAAUCAAGUUGUUCAUUUAGUUUAAGAAAGAGAAAAUUCAUCUGUUUCUGUUAUUAGUCGUCAUCAGAGAUGCAUGGUGACACCUGCAGCAAGUUUUGCAUAUUUGGGACAAAAGUGAUGGGUUGCUCCACCUCGUCUAGUAGGAGGCGAUUUACUAAGUGGAGAGGAUGUGUAGGCAGGCAAGCACACCAUACCUUACCUUAUUA